CCCGCUCAGAAACUCAAAUGAAUUGCCGGGGCCCGCACAAGCGGUGAGCAUGUGGUUUAAUUCGAUGAUACGCGAGGAACCUUACCUGGGCUCAAAUGUAUGUUGACGUAUUCUGAAAGGGAUACUUCUUCGGACAAUAUACAAGGUGCUGCAUGGUUGUCGUCAGCUCGUGCCGUGAGGUGUCGGGUUAAGUCCCAUAACGAGCGCAACCCCUAUCAUUAGUUGCCAUCAGGUAAUGCUGGGGACUCUAAAGGAACUGCCUACGCAAGUAGUGAGGAAGCGGGGAUGACGUCAAAUCAGCACGGCCCUUACGUCCAGGGCUACACACGUGCUACAAUGGCCGAUACAGAGGGCAGCUACCUGGUGACAGGAUGCAAAUCUCCAAAGUCGGUCUCAGUUCGGAUCGGAGUCUGCAACCCGACUCCGUGAAGUUGGAUUCGCUAGUAAUCGCGCAUCAGCCAUGGCGCGGUGAAUACGUUCCCGGGCCUU
rnacentral:rRNA from 1 species